rnacentral:rRNA from 1 species
GACGAACGCUGGCGGCGUGCUUAACACAUGCAAGUCGAGCGCUGAAGCCUUCGGGUGGAUGAGCGGCGAACGGGUGAGUAACACGUGGGUGACCUGCCCCUCACUCUGGGAUAAGCCUGGGAAACUGGGUCUAAUACCGGAUAUGACCUUCGAUCGCAUGGUUGUUGGUGGAAAGUUUUUCGGUGGGGGAUGGGCCCGCGGCCUAUCAGCUUGUUGGUGGGGUGAUGGCCUACCAAGGCGACGACGGGUAGCCGGCCUGAGAGGGCGACCGGCCACACUGGGACUGAGACACGGCCCAGACUCCUACGGGAGGCAGCAGUGGGGAAUAUUGCACAAUGGGCGAAAGCCUGAUGCAGCGACGCCGCGUGAGGGAUGACGGCCUUCGGGUUGUAAACCUCUUUCAGCAGGGAAGAAGCGAAAGUGACGGUACCUGCAAAAGAAGCACCGGCUAACUACGUGCCAGCAGCAGCCGCAGUAACAC